CUUGCUAAACACAGCCUGAACUGCUUGGAUGUUGCACUUUCCACCGCCAAAAGCCAGCAUCAUCAACAGCUCUGAUUGGUUUUGGCCACUUUUUUCAUGGCUCAACAGACGACUGGCCAUCCAUAAAUCACACAUGCACAUAUCUGCGACUGCAGGAGGAGUGAUGCCACAGGAUUCAUGCAAAAAUUAUCUGGCGAACAGAGGAAUACUGAAUGCAGAAAUAUUUCUACAUUGAAGUGCCAGCCUCCCAAUGAAUCCGGGCGAAAUCUUAACGCUAAACAUCCACAAAAGAUGUUUACAGUUCAUGGAUACCCUUUGGAACAGCCGUUUAAACAAUGGUUGCCACUUGAAGACUCAAAAUAUAUAAAUACUAAGAUGCGUCUUUCUUGGAACCUGUCUUCCAAUGAAA